UACGUAGGGAGCAAGCGUUGUCCGGAAUCAUUGGGCGUAAAGGGCUCGUAGGCGGCCAACUAAGUCAGACGUGAAAUCCCCAGGCUUAACCUGGGAACUGCGUCUGAUACUGGAUGGCUUGAAUUCGGGAGAGGGAUGCAGAAUUCCAGGUGUAGCGGUGAAAUGCGUAGAUAUCUGGAGGAAUACCGGUGGCGAAGGCGGCAUCCUGGACCGAGAUUGACGCUGAUGAGCGAAAGCUAGGGGAGCAAACGGG
rnacentral:rRNA from 1 species